rfam:Caenorhabditis tropicalis strain JT1373 unplaced genomic scaffold Scaffold629, whole genome shotgun sequence.
GUCGGGGUGGCCGACUGGUGGAAUGGCAUGAGUGUGCACUCAAUGGGCUCUAGCCCUACGUAGGUUCGAAUCCUACCCCCGGCG